rnacentral:rRNA from 1 species
GACGAACGCUGGCGGCAUGCCUAACACAUGCAAGUCGAACGAUUGCGCUCGGUUGUUAGUGGCGCACGGGUGCGUAACGCGGGGGAAUCUGCGCGUAGGUUCGGAAUCAGAGCUGGAAACGGCUGCUAUUACCGGGUGAUAUCGCAAGAUCAAAGAUCUAUCGCCUGAGGAUGAGUGCGCGUGGGAUUCGGUAGUUGGAGGGGUAAAGGCCUACCCAGCCGACGAUCCAGAGCUGGGCUGAGCGGAUGAUCAACCACACUGGGGCUGAGACACGGCCCAGACUCCUAGGGGAGGCAGGAGUGGGGAAUAUUGGACGAUGGGCGCAAGACUGAUGCAGCAAGGCCGCGUGAGUGAUGAAGGCGCGAGGAUUGUAAAGCUGUUUUAACCGGGAAGAUAGUGACGGUACCGGGAGAAUAAGCCCCGGCUAACUACGUG